UACAGAGGUCUCAAGCGUUGUUCGGAUUCAUUGGGCGUAAAGGGUGCGUAGGUGGCGCGGUAAGUCGGGUGUGAAAUCUCAGAGCUCAACUCUGAAACUGCACUCGAUACUGCUCUGCUUGAGGACUGGAGAGGAGACUGGAAUUCACGGUGUAGCAGUGAAAUGCGUAGAUAUCGUGAGGAAGACCAGUGGCGAAGGCGGGUCUCUGGACAGUUCCUGACGCUGAGGCGCGAAGGCCAGGGGAGCAAACGGG
rnacentral:rRNA from 1 species